UACGUAGGGUGCAAGCGUUAAUCGGAAUUACCGGGCGUAAAGCGUGCGCAGGCGGUUCGGAAAGAGAGGUGUGAAAUCCCAGGGCUUAACCUUGGAACUGCACUUUUAACUACCGGGCUAGAGUACGUCAGAGGGGGGUAGAAUUCCACGUGUAGCAGUGAAAUGCGUAGAGAUGUGGAGGAAUACCGAUGGCGAAGGCAGCCCCCUGGGAUGAUACUGACGCUCAUGCACGAAAGCGUGGGGAGCAAACAGG
rnacentral:rRNA from 1 species